GCGCCCGUAGCUCAACCGGAUAGAGCACCUGCCUUCUAAGCAGGGGGUUGCAGGUUCGAGUCCUGCCGGGCGUGCCA
rnacentral:tRNA from 1 species